CAUAUAUGUAACAAUAUAUUCUUGGCUCAAUAAAAGAUAAAUAAUAUUAUGAUGAUUCUGAAUGGAGGAAAAAGCACAAAUGGUUAAUGCAUAUUUAAGCACAUUUAGGAUAUAUUCCUUCAUCAUCUAAAACUGCAUACAUCCUCUUACCUUUGUUACGUUGGCCAGAGGGAUUGAUGUUAACUAGAGUAAUCUUGGAGCAUGAUUUACCACUACUGCCCACACCACAGACUGAAGUGGAGGUUGAGGAGAUUUCUUCAUUGGUCUCUCCCUCCCCACCAUCCUCUAAGCACAGUAGAGGUUGAGACGAGGCUUGAACAGAUUUGAUGAUGCUGGGAUGCAUGGCACUAUGUGUCUCUCACUUGUACAUUCCAAACAUUUGAUUAGAGCUUGACGGCUCUUUGCAUGGUGGUGUGUAGAAGCACAGCACUAGGAACAGAUCAUGUGUUCCUUUAGAAGUUUUUUGCGAUCAUCAAGAUACAUUUUAACCGUACCUUUCUUUCCUCUGUAGAGGACUAGUGAGUGAAAGAAUUUUGUAAAUGGGAUCAUUCCUUUUUUCAGCUUCUCUGCAAACAAAUUCUUUGAAGAAGGAAAAUGGUAAAAAAGACACAUCAUAGGUCCUUUGUAUUUGGAGCCUUGUGACAUCCAGCGCUCCAGAAGUGGCUCUUGGAGGUCUGCUAGGCUCCUGAAGCUUGUGACUAUCUUUGGACUGGAUUUUUGGAAAGGCUUCAAUUCUGGAAAAGAGGGCACUCUCAAAAACUUUGAAGGAACCAUACAUUUUAUCAAGUCUUGACUAUAUGGCUUCUAGUCCAAUGAUGGGCUGGUUUGCAUUGACCGCGCUUAUACUCACUGCAUGCUCACUCGACUCUUUACCAAGCCAUUUCACCAUUAGAUCAAUCUCUUCACUAGGUGACAAUCCAACUGGAUUUAUGACAUUGAUGAAUGAAGCUCACCAUUCUUGGUAAUGUUCUGGAGUAUCAUCAUAUUUGGUUAGACGGUUAUGAUUUGGUUGCAUGCUAAAAACCUUGCCACAUUGAGUGUGUGUUCAAAGGGCUUGUAGGAUUGGUUUUUAAAAUGGCUUGGUUCAGAGGUAUGGCUUGCUGAAUGGUUGGAUAGUUACUGCGGUUCAUGGCUUCCUUUUUAACAGGAAUGGAGAUGGGAUGUUGAACAAAAUCUCUUGUCCUGUCCACUGUAUGUUUGGGCAGAGCAGCAAACUCAUCUAUCAUAGAGCAACAUGAUAAGGGUGGGGGAGAACCAGUCUUAUCACUCCUGGGGACAUACUGACUGAAGUUAGAUGACUGCUGUUUUACAUAGUCUUCUCUCCUUUUCAGCAUUUGUAUGGCCAAAGAUUCAAGAUCUGGUGGCUUGUGGUAUCUUUCUGCUCCUAUGUCUGCGGCUGCUGCCUCCUGUACAGCUGCUUUUGCGUUAGAUCCUUUUGCAGAUUGAGUGCACGUAAUGAAGCUUUGUUUUGUCUUUUCAAUCUGAAUGCUUGUUUCUUUAUCCAAAAACUCCAGUUUAGCUUUAGCGGCUUACGCCUUAGCUCUUGCUUUAGCUAGACUGGCUGUUGAGCUUGCAGAUGCGCGUGAGGCUUUAGAGCGGGUGGUGGUACAUGCUGUAUGUGACUCAAACAUGGCUUUAUCUGGUUGACUUGGUGAUGCAUCACUUGCCUUUUUGUGGAGAGUCUUCCAUGGUUCACAAAUUGUCCCUUUUCCUUGUGUCGUCCUUGUAAAGUCUUUUUACUGUCCUGGCCUCACUGAGCACUGUAUUUGUUAACAAUAACCAGCUAUUCAGGUAGUUAAACACUCUCCUAUCCAUCUGCCAAAAAAGCACUCCAUUCUGUUCUGUUUCAGGUUUUAAUAAGUGUAAAACUGUAGGACACAAAAUACAGCAAAUACUACAAAGCAGGUAGAAAAUUACAACAUCAGCAUAAAACCUGCAUUAGGCCUCAAAAUAUUAUAUUCCAAAGCAGAAAAACAGAUUAUUACUCACAGACAACGCCGUUCUAGGGUUAGCCCAAAGAAAAGACAACUAAAUGGUUGCUAACUGAGCACAUGGUCAGACUGACUAUUCUAGAAAACAAAACCGCACUACUACCUUUCCCCACUAGGUGGAAUCAUUGAACAAGAUUAAAACCAUGGCGCAGCUCCAUG